rnacentral:rRNA from 1 species
AAAAAAGGUAAGCUACUAAGAGCGAAUGGUGGAUGCCUUGACUGGUAAAGGCGAUGAAGGACGUACUAGACUGCGAUAAGCUACGGGGAGCUGUCAAGAAGCUUUGAUCCGUAGAUUUCCGAAUGGGGCAACCCAAUGUAUAGAGAUAUACAUUACCUAUAUAGGAGCGAACGAGGGGAAUUGAAACAUCUUAGUACCCUCAGGAAAAGAAAUCAAUAGAGAUUGCGUCAGUAGCGGCGAGCGAAAGCGUAAGAGGGCAAACCCAGUGCUUGCACUGGGGGUUGUAGGACUGCAAUGUGCAAGAGGUGAGUUUAGCAGAACAUUCUGGAAAGUAUAGCCAUAGAGGGUGAUAGUCCCGUAUGCGAAAAACAAACCUUAGCUAGCAGUAUCCUGAGUAGGGCGGGACACGAGAAAUCCUGUCUGAAGCUGGGUCGACCACGAUCCAACCCUAAAUACUAAUACCAGAUCGAUAGUGCACAAGUACCGUGAGGGAAAGGUGAAAAGAACUGAGGUGAUCAGAGUGAAAUAGAACCUGAAACCAUUUGCUUACAAUCAUUCAGAGCACUAUGUAGCAAUACAGUGUGAUGGACUGCCUUUUGCAUAAUGAGCCUGCGAGUUGUGGUGUCUGGCAAGGUUAAGCAAACGUGAAGCCGUAGCGAAAGCGAGUCUGAAUAGGGCGCUUAGUCAGAUGCUGCAGACCCGAAACGAAGUGAUCUAUCCAUGAGCAAGUUGAAGCUAGUGUAAGAACUAGUGGAGGACUGAACCCAUAGGCGUUGAAAAGCCCCGGGAUGACUUGUGGAUAGGGGUGAAAGGCCAAUCAAACUUCGUGAUAGCUGGUUCUCUCCGAAAUAUAUUUAGGUAUAGCGUUGUGUCGUAAUAUAAGGGGGUAGAGCACUGAAUGGGCUAGGGCAUACACCAAUGUACCAAACCCUAUCAAACUCCGAAUACCUUAUAUGUAAUCACAGCAGUCAGGCGGCGAGUGAUAAAAUCCGUCGUCAAGAGGGAAACAACCCAGACUACCAGCUAAGGUCCCUAAAUCUUACUUAAGUGGAAAACGAUGUGAAGUUACUUAAACAACCAGGAGGUUGGCUUAGAAGCAGCCAUCCUUUAAAGAAAGCGUAAUAGCUCACUGGUCUAGUGAUUUUGCGCGGAAAAUAUAACGGGGCUAAAGU